rnacentral:lncRNA from 1 species
GAGACACAGAGCAGCUACAUAUUCCACAUUCUUCAGUCACCCUGUGUAUACAAUGAGAAAAAGACCUGUAACAUCAGCUACA